GGUAGGGGAGCGUUCUGUAAGCCUGUGAAGGUGUGUCGUGAGGCAUGCUGGAGGUAUCAGAAGUGCGAAUGCUGACAUAAGUAACGAUAAAGCGGGUGAAAAGCCCGCUCGCCGGAAGACCAAGGGUUCCUGUCCAACGUUAAUCGGGGCAGGGUGAGUCGACCCCUAAGGCGAGGCCGAAAGGCGUAGUCGAUGGGAAACGGGUUAAUAUUCCCGUACUUGGUGUUACUGCGAAGGGGGGACGGAGAAGGCUAUGUUGGCCGGGCGACGGUUGUCCCGGUUUAAGCGUGUAGGUGUGUGUUCCAGGUAAAUCCGGUUCACUUUAACACUGAGGCGUGACGACGAGGCACUACGGUGCUGAAGCAACAAAUGCCCUGCUUCCAGGAAAAGCCUCUAAGCAUCAGGUAACAUCAAAUCGUACCCCAAACCGACACAGGUGGUCAGGUAGAGAAUACCAAGGCGCUUGAGAGAACUCGGGUGAAGGAACUAGGCAAAAUGGUGCCGUAACUUCGGGAGAAGGCACGCUGACACGUAGGUGAAGUGAUUUACUCAUGGAGCUGAAGUCAGUCGAAGAUACCAGCUGGCUGCAACUGUUUAUUAAAAACACAGCACUGUGCAAACACGAAAGUGGACGUAUACGGUGUGACGCCUGCCCGGUGCCGGAAGGUUAAUUGAUGGGGUCAGCGCAAGCGAAGCUCCUGAUCGAAGCCCCGGUAAACGGCGGCCGUAACUAUAACGGUCCUAAGGUAGCGAAAUUCCUUGUCGGGUAAGUUCCGACCUGCACGAAUGGCGUAAUGAUGGCCAGGCUGUCUCCACCCGAGACUCAGUGAAAUUGAACUCGCUGUGAAGAUGCAGUGUACCCGCGGCAAGACGGAAAGACCCCGUGAACCUUUACUAUAGCUUGACACUGAACAUUGAGCCUUGAUGUGUAG
rnacentral:rRNA from 2 species